GUUAACCGCGCGCCGGCCGCGCACUCACCUGCUCCACUCCCCACCCGCGGACUCACCCUCACCCUCACCCUCGGCCACGUGCCGACACACCCCAGGGGGCCGGGUGGGUGUUGGGGGGACGGCAGCAUAGAGUUUUGUCAACUUUUACCCACCUGGGGGCAACUUGUCUCCAGCCCGUAGUCGUUACAGGCUUUAACCCCGGAAGGGUGUAUGGAAAAGCGAGGACAGCAGGGUUUCCCAGCUGGGUUGCCUGCUUGGUAUACGUUUUUUCAUUUUUAUCUGCGGAUAAUCCUGGUAGAGUGUAGGGACUGGAGUAUGAAAUCGAGAAUAAAGGGUGGACUUAGAAUAUUCCUACACCCAACGUUGCCAAGCGGAGCUACUGUGUAAUUGCAACUCAUAGUUUCUCCUUUGGCAAAAUUUCCCACUCCAAAGCCUGGGUAACUCAGCAGAAGAGGGUUGACUCAUAAAGGGGCACGAGAGAGGUGGCAAUAAUGUGAAUGCUAAAACUCCAACCAUCCUUCUGAACGUCUCCCCUGCAAAUGGGAGACUAAGGUUCUGCCUGGAGAAUUGUGUCACUUGGGGGGAAAUUCACUUUCCCUGCCGGGCAUCUGGCCGGUCAGCCUGGAUUCCAGGUUCUUCUGGGUGAAGAGCUGGUGAAGCGGUUUUUCUGGCUGCAUUUUCCGGAGCCGUUUCUGAGUGGUGUGGAAACAACUUUGCCUUUGUAAAUAGUUUCCCCACCGUGUGAGGAGCCUAGAAACUCUCUUUUGAGAUCUGAUGUCCCCAAUCCCCUAAUGAUUGAAUAUGAGUAGAAUAGGAACCUCCGUUUUGCACUCUUCGGGGCUGUGUGGAGUUACGUAGGGGAGAAGAGCAUUCGGUAGUAAACUGAAUUCAGUCUGGCUACAGCUGCAUUCUCACUUGUUUCUCUUCAGUGCUUUGUGCAUACCUCUGUCAGCACUAAUUAUGUGCAAUUAUUUUAUCUAUUUUCUCAGCCUAGCCUAACUAUAGAUGGAGGUGUCUGGGCUCUUCUAUUUAGUUGUGGGUCUCUCUUGAGCUUAGUUGCUGCAUGACAAGCAUGCUGAGCCAAUGAAUACAUAAACCCAUAGGUAUUGAAACAGACGAUUUCAGAUGAGACCUUGUCAUAUGGUGAUUGAUUUAAGCCCUAAACUAAGGACGUAAGUCAAUUUCCUGCUUACCUAGUUGUGGCCCUGCUGUGUGAAACUGAUGAAGUUUAAAGUAAGGGAGCCAGCAUUGCUAGUGUGUGGCCGCUGAUGCAACCCCCUGCUAUGCCAUAGCUCACCUCCUGGCCCACAAUACAGAGACGCCCUCCCCCACCAACCUUGUUUGUCUAGAGGAUUUGUGAUGUCUUCAGAGUCAAUUGCCACACCCUGGAUCCAGAAAGUGGAAAGCUAUUUGCUUUAGCUUGAUGAUUAACAUAACGGAAAAAAAGUUUUCUUGACUCAAGUGUGUGUUGGUUUGUGUGACAACGGGCAGGUGGGACCUGGGGCAAGUGUUAUUUGGACUAUAAACUGUUGGGCACUUGCUCAACUUGCAAUACUUAAUGUAAAUACCUAGGCAGGGGUUGGGGUGGGGAGGAAGGCAGGUCAUUUUAUUUUAGGCACCAUCUUUUAAUAGGUCCCUUCUUUUCUUCGUCUCCUUGCUUUCAGUUUAAUGAAUAAUGUCUUGGCAAAGAGUUAAAAAAUCUCUCUCACCCAAAAGGAGGAAGAAAUUUAUCUGCAACUGAAAAUAAACUUAGAGAAAGAGACAAAAAAUCAAGCAGUUUUGUGACUUUCUUAAAACAAAAACUGAAAAGUGAGUUUUGUAGAAACCUCUAACAUGACAUUCUUAGAAUACUUUGUCAUUUGUCACAGGCAAAUUUGUCACAGACCCUCUGGAGAAACCCUUUGGGUCUUGUAGAUAUGAACCUUCUUGGCUCAGUGUAGCCGGCUUAUCCUCAGCCCAAGUUUUUCAAAAUCAACUGCUAAUAAAAGAAGCAGAGGCCAUGCUCAGAACAGUGUCUCUUAUUCUGAGCCAAAGUGUCCAUUCUCAAUGCAAUGGUAGUCAUCGAAUACCGUAAGUGAAAUAUCACAAUCCUGUCUUUUGUAGCUUAGCCCAAUAAAGGGAUUCCCAGUUGAAGGAGCUUAUUAAGACCACCUCAAGAGUUUUUAAAACACAUACCUACUUCUUUGCAUUCUGAAAUGCAGUGUGGAUUUCAGGGUUUCUAUAUAGGAGAGGCUUUGAAAAUGUAAUCUGGUUGCCUGAGAGGUCAAAGGGAGAUGUUUUAAAGAAACGUUUAUAUAGCAAGUGCACCUUUUUAACCUAGAUUCCUUUUUUGUUUAUUGGGGGAGUAGAUGGAGACUAGUAUUCCAGCCAUCACCCAUUUGCACCCCACUGCAUGACAUGCGCCCCCUUGUGGAGAGUUACUACCUCUACCUGCGGUACACCCAGUAAGGAGAACCCCUGGAAAAGUUUCAAUGCCUGCAUUCCAGACAUAGAUUCCCCCACAGAAUUAACAUAACCUCCCUGAGCCUCAGUGUCUUCAUCUGCAAGAUGGGAAUAAAGAAACCUGUUGGACUUGCUUACCUUACAGGGCUGCUGUAUGGACGAACACCUUGAGAAUGAAAGACGUGUAUCAAAAUCUGCUGCAAGUAGUUUUACAGUUCAAAUGAAAUGAACAUGAAACUGUCUCUUCUCAAGUACCGCCCUAUCUUCUUCCUUUACUGGAGUUUAUAUUUCUCAUUUUUAUAACACUUUCUUUUUGUACUAUAGUGUAAUGCUAGGAGACUAUUCCUGUGGGACCACGGGAGUUUAAUAGAAUCUGGAGAAAGAGAAUCAUAGCAAUAGCUAACAUUUCUGGAGCACUUACUAUGUGCCAGCCUUGCCUGUUACACUUAGAGUAACCCCCUGAGGCCAAUACUGUUGUUAUUGUUCAUUUUACUGAUGAGGAAAUUAAAGUUUACAGAUAUUAAGGUUUUUUUGCCUAAAGUAACAUGGUGUCCAGGCAAGGAGGCUCACACCUGUAAUCCCAGCACUGUGGGAGGCUGAGUGGGCGAAUCAUGAGGUCAGUAGUUCAAAACCAGCCUGGCGAACAUGAUGAAACCCCAUCUCUACUAAAAAUACAAAAAUUAGCCAGACAUGGUGCCAUGUGCCUGUAAUCCCAGCUACUGGGGAGGCUGAGGCAGGAGAAUCGCUUGAACCCAGAAAGUGGAAGAUGCAGUGAGCGGAGGUUGUGCCACUGCACUCCAACCUGGGCAACAGAGCAAAACUCUGCCUUAAAAAUGUGUUUUUUUUAAUAAGAAUAAAUAAUAAAAUAACAUAGGCAGGAAGAUUCCAGAUCUAUCUGACAUAAAAGCUUAUACUUUUAACUUUUGGGCAAUACUGAUGCUAUGAGCUUCCACUUGGAACUGUGUACUUGAACCAGUUGGAGUUACUGGGUUCAAAGCAUUAUUUAUUUAUUUAUUUUUGAGGCGGAGUUUCGCUCUUGUUACCCAGGCUGGAGUGCAAUGGCGUGAUCUCGGCUCACCGCAACCUCCGCCUUCUGGGUUCAGGCAAUUCUCCUGCCUCAGCCCCCUGAGUAGCUGGGAUUACAGGCAUGCGCCACCAUGCCCAGCUAAUUUUUUUUGUAUUUUUAGUAGAGACGGGGUUUCACCAUGUUGACCAGGAUGGUCUCAAUCUCUUGACCUUGUGAUCCACCCGCCUCGGCCUCCCAAAGGGUUCAAGGCAUUCUAUCCCACUCCUCAGCUAUGCUGAAGUGCUGGGGAAAACUUGGCAGGAAACAGCAAUUGUGUGGUCCACUCAAAAGGGACGGAGAGCAAGGAGGAGUGAGUCUUUUUUUUUUUUUUUUGAGUCUUAUAGAACUAAUGCACCAAGUGUCUGCUGUCAAAAUGAAGCUGCUGUGGCAAGGCCCAUCCCUACCAUGGUUAAACACAUGGCCAUCAAGGAGGCUAAAUGUAAUCCAAACUUACAUAGUGAAUAAACUUUGCCCGUUAAGCUGGUGUUUAGCCAGCAUUCAUUAAAGUUGAGAUCAGAAAUCUUCACACUGCAAGCUGAUUUCUCAUUUUUAGGAGUGGGAGCAGGGACUGCGCAUUCAGCCAUGCAGGUAUUGAACCCCGUAAGUCCAGCAACAGCAUUCACAUAGACCAUAGUGUCAAUGGCAUCCUCUGGAGCUGGGCACAGUGCACCCACACAAACAUCCUUGGUGGCAGCUCCGGGUCAGGGGGUACAGAGGAGUUUUUUGUUAUCAGAUUAAUAGUAAAAAAGUAAUUUGAAAUAGGUCAACUUUUUGUGACUGAAGCUACAGGGAAAUUAAUUUAUCCAUAACUUUGUUGAGAUCAAGAAGUUCAGAAUGUUCUGGAAAACUCAUGUUGGAAUGCAGAGGUGGGUGGACCCAAUAAUCCCAUAAUACAAAAGGUCUUCUAUGGAACUGGUCUGGAAAAAGUGGAAACUCAAAGGAGAAAGUCAAGGACGGUUGUUGACAUUAACCCUGUCCACUAGCGCUCCCCUUCAGCAAUGCUCCCCUGGAAUGUUUGCCUAAGACGGUCUGAAGCCUCACUGUCACCCUCACUUUCUCCAGUGGUGGAAGUGGGAAUGAAUGAUUGAGCAGGAAGAUGGGAGCAAGUGAGGGGCAGUGAAUUUCUGGAAUAAAAUAUCAGGACUGGAAGAAAAUUUGAAUUUUAAGAAAUCUUAUUUUAUUUAGGAUGUACAGAUUUUUAAAGAAUACCCAAUACCCUGGGAUUCGAGUCUUGAAACCUAGGUUUUUUAUCUUCUACUAGUUUCACUUUUACAAGAAAUUUCAUCUUUUUAGGACUUUGUUUCCAUUACUGCAAAGCAUAGGGAGCUGGGUUAAGCCAUCUCUAAACCUUAUUCUGUCUUAAAUCCUAUAAAUUCAGACGCAGUGCACAUUACUAAUAACAAAAUUUUAACACCCCUUUUAUUAUUGUAAAGUUAGUCUCACAAAUAACAUAGCCUAACUCUGAUUUAAGUUUAAACAUCAAUAGAAUGUCCUACUGGUAAUAUAAAAAAGAAAUAAAAUAAAUUGUUAAAAAAAAAACCACAUUUCAAUAGAUAAAUGCAUGGACACAACUACACCAGAGGUCAUAAUGAAAGAGCUAGAUGUUCACACCUUUAUGUUAAGUCGCUACCAAUGCACAGCUGCACAUGAGGAGGAGUAGGGCUGUGUGGCAUUAUUUAGGAGCUAGACAAGGCUUUCACUGUGAAGGACUGCACCAGGUGUUCCAGGAUGUCCAGGUUCCCCAGCUUCCUUCACUAAAUGCCAGCAAUGUGACACUCCUCCUGCACUUCAUCCUUAAAAAGCCUUCAUAAAUUUCUGAACUGCCACUGGGGAGGGAGGUAUGGACCCUCCACCUUCUCGAGAACAAGUGUUCUGUAAGAAUGCUAAUUCUACCUCAUCACUUUAUAGUGCCUAAUCUUUUGCAAACUCUUUUUCCGAAGGUAAUAAUAGCUAACACAUGCAAAACGUUGUGCCACAUGCUGUUUUAAGCACUUUACACAGAUUAACUCACUGGAUUCCAAUACUAUUAGUAUCCCUAUUUAACAGACAAGAAAACUGAGGCAGAGACUUUAAGUCACUUGCCAAAAACCCACCGUGAAUAACUGCUGAGUCUUUGAUUCAAGCACAGGCCUGUAGCUGUUAAUCCUCAUAAAUGGCCCUAGGAGAUAAAUAGAUCAGGGAUGUUUAUCCCCAGUUUGUUGAUCAGGAAAUUGAAGCUCCAAAUGUUGGAAUGACUUGUCAGCAUUGGUCCUCUAUUUUCUUUUCUGGUGUACUAGUUUUCUACUGCUGCAAUAACACAUUUCUAGAAACCCUAGUAAAUUAAAACAACACAGAUUUAUUACAGUUUUUAAAGUCAGAAGUCUGACAUAGGUCUCACUGAACUAACAUCAUUAGCAAAGCUUUAUUCCUUUCUGGAUGUCUAGGGGAAAACGCCUUUAAAAAAAAAAAAAUCUUUUCCAGAAGUCAGGUCCCUAGAGAUCGCCCACACGCCUUGGUUAUCGGUCCCAUUCCAUUUCUAAAGCUUGCGAUGGCAGCCUAAAUCCUUCUCACAUCAAAUUACUCCGGUCUCUUUUCUGCUUUCCUUUCAUUUGUAAGGACCCUUGUGAUUACUUUGGUCACUGACAAAUACACCAAGAUAACUCUCUAUUUUAAUGUCAUCUUAUUAGCAACCUUAAUUCCGUCUUCAACCCUAAUUCUCCUUUGUCAUGUAAGGUAACAUAUUCACAGAAUCUGGAGAAGACUAGGAGGUGGACAUCUUUGGAUAGGGGGAUGGACAUUUUUCUGCCUACCAAAUCUAGUUUGCUGAAGUUGUAAUGAUAAAAAAUAUUCUGGGUUAGAUGAUGAACCUCACCUUUAUAGAUAAUCACUCCCUCUCUCAUUGCAAGGGUUUCUCAUUAAUUUACAUAUUUCUCUUUUAACAAGUAAUUUAUUGUCAUUUAUGUACUAUACACUACCAGGACAUUGCCUUCUAGAAGCAACAUUCUAUUGACAGAUACAGAUGAGUGCCAUGCAGAUACCUACAGGAGGGAGGAAAAAUGGCCAUAUUACGGAUAUUAUGAGAUGCUGUGGUAGCCCGUGGGAAGGGUAUCUGGUCCGUUCUUAGACAGGGCAGUAUAGAAGGCAAAUGUUUUCAGGCAGUCCAAAAAAGAGGUUGGGCCUCAGCUGUAGCUCAGUGUGGUUAAGAGGGCAGAAUGUGAUCUUAAGACUUUGCUGAGAGGCAAGAGUGGGGGAAAAAAAAGUGGAGAAUUGAGGACCAAGCCUUGUGGAGCUUAUUACAGAAUUGGAUUUCAGUUUGAGGGUGAAAUGUUUUAAGCAGGGAAAUGUCAUGCUUCGUUUUGCAUUUACGAAAGAUAACCCUCUAGAGUAACAUGAGGUUGGUAAGGCUCCAGUAAAAUGGAAGUGCCAGAGAGUGGGUGGCUUCCUGCUCUCUUCCUACUCUCCUUUCCAAACAGGAGCUGGAAAUCAGAUGAUCUAACCCUUCAUCAGGCCCAUUCUGGUGUAUACUUCACAAACUGAAGACACUGCGAGGUGGACACAAGGAAAGCAAAGAGUUCUCAGAAAUGCAGGACACUGGAAGAAAAAAAGAUUUUGAACUGGAGCUGGUUUCUGGAAUGGAACGCUUCAUAGAUUGUUCCCUGAUAGAUCACAUUUGGGAACAGCAUUUCUUCACGGGCAGCCUGUGUCCUCUCUCUUGGAUCUCAACUUGCUUCAUCUCUUUAGCAGCAUGAUUAGAAGUGGUUACUGCAACUGCUGUGGAAAAAUCCACCAGGAGGUUAUCGUAUUUAAUGUUUCAGAAAACUUGCUUUUGAAGGUGAUAACAGUAUUUCAUAAUCACUGUGCUUUUGGGCAAGCACAGAUGUGUUGCAUACCGUUAAAUCACUCUCUCCUUAGAAUGUAAUGUUGUUCUUUGAAAGCAUUUAGUUCUCCUUCCACCUUUCUUUCCCCUCACCCUCUCCUUAUGCCAAAGAAGGUACAUUUCCCAGACUUACUCUCUACACCCAGCAAGGUAUUCAUUCCUUCAGCAAUCCUGAGUGAUUUUUUUUUUUUAACUCAUUCCUUCCCAGUUGCAUCUCCAAGCUCAUGAUACAUGUUGCUUAAUCAUUUCAGGUCUGCACAGACUGAGCACCUCCUAGUAUGGACUCCUAGAGUGGAUUCCAGAGAUAGAAACAUAUCAACAAACCACCAACACAUAGACCUAUAUAGAGAGGCCGCCACCUUUUCUUUUCUUCCAAUAGAGUUUGCCUUGAAUUACAGUCAGGGAGAAUCAUAGUGUAAUAGACACUUCAAUCCCAGUAACAAAAAAAGGUGGCUUGAAAUUGUAUUUCAGUCAAUAUUGAUUCCAUUAAAAGUACGAGUGUUGAAAAGGAAAUGAUGGAGAAGCAGAGGGCCUCUUAUGUGAGUCAGCUAGUGUACAACCAACUACCUUUGCAUAAAAUAAAAUCUCAAACCUUUGGUAUACCAUCAAAACUUGCUGCAAUUUUACCUUCAACUUCAAAUUGGAAAGUUUUCCAAUAUCCCAAGUUGACACGACACUUUGACUAAAUUAUCCUACCUACCUUCUAAAAACACUAAAAUAUAGGACUUGGCAUAGUACCUGGCUAGCAGCAGGAAACUAGUUUAUAUUUGGAGAAGAAUAAAUGAAUGAGUGAAUAUGAAUGUGUUUCUUCCGCUAUUGCCAUUAAAAAAUAUUUAAAAGCUUUAUGGGUACAAGUAGAUUUUUGUUAUAUGGAUGAAUUUUUUAGUGGUGAUGUCUGGAAUUUUAGGGAGCCCAUCACCCAAGUAGUGUACACUGUACUCAAUAGAUAGGUUUUCAUCACUUACCUCCACUCACUCUCCCCUUUUAUAAGUCUCCAGUAUGCAUUAUAUCUCUCCGUAUGCAUUUACGUACCCAUAGCUUAGCUCCUACUUGUAAGUGAGAACAUGCAGUAUUUAGUUUUCAAUUCCUGAGUUACUUCACUUAGAAUAAUGGCCUCUUGUUUCAGCCAAGUUGUUGCAAAUGACAUCGUUUUGUUAUUUUUUUAUAGCUGAGUGGUAUUCCAUGGCGUGUGUGUGUGACUGUGUGUCCAUGUGUACUUCUUUACUACUCUUAUAUGUAUGAGUAGUACCUACUCAUUGGUUGAUAAGCAUUUCAGUUGUUUCCAUAUCUUUGUAAUUGUGAUUCAUGCUGUGAUUAAUAUACCCAUGCAGGUUUCAUUUUAAUAUAGCUAUUGUUUUCCUUUGGAUAAAUACUCAGUAGUGGAAUUGCUGAAUUGCUGCAUACUGUGUUCCAUAAAGGUGUACUAAUUGACAUUCCCACCAGCAGGGCAUAAGUGUUCCAUUUUCAUUAUAUCCACACCACCAUCUAUUGUGUGUUUUCUGUUUUGUUUUGUUUUUACUUUUUAAUAAUGUUCAUUCUGAUUGGGGUAAGGUAGUAUCUUAUUGUAAUUUUAAUUUGCAUUUCCCUGAUGAUUGAUGUUGAGCAUUUUUUCCAUGUUUGUUGGAAUUUGUAUAUCUUCUUUUGAGAAAUUCAUUAUUUCAAACAUUUGUGAUAUUUGCCCACUUCUUAAUGAGAUUAUCUGGGUUUUUUUCUUGCUGAUUUGUUUGAGUUCCUUGUAGAUUUUGGAUGUUAGUCCUUUGUUAGAUGCAUAAUUUGCAAAUAUUUUCUCCCAUACUGUAAGUUGUUUGUUUACUCUGAUUAGUAUUUCUUUUGCUCUGGAGAAGUUUUCAGUUUAACUAGGUCCAGUUUACUUAGCACAGUUCUAUCUGCCUUAGAGGCUUUAGUCAUAAAUUAUUUGCCUAUGCCAACGUCCAGAAGAGAUUUUCCUAGACUUUCUUCUAGAAUUAUUAUGGUUUUAGGUCUUAAAUUGAGGUCUUUGAUCAAUUUUGAGUUAAUUUUUGUAUAUGGUGAGAAAUAGGAUCCAGGUUUAUUCUUCUACAUGUGGCCAUUCAAUUUUCCUAGUGCUAUUUAUUGUGUCCUUUCUCCAAUUUGUGUUUUUGUAUCCUUUGUCAAAGAUCAGUUGGUUGUAUUUGAGUUUAUUUAUAGGUUCUCUACUCUAUUCCAAUGGUCUGUGUGUCUACUUUCAUACCAGCACCAUGCUGCUUUGGUUACUACAGCAUUGUAAUAUAAUUUGAAGUCAGGUAAUAUGAUGCCUCCGAUUUUUUCUUUUUGCUUAGGUUUGCCUUAGGUAUUUGGGCUCUUUUCAAGUUUCAUAGGAAUUUGAGGAUUUUUUUUUUGAAUUGUGUAAAAAUUGAUGUUGAUAUUUUCAUAGAAAUUGAAUUGAAUCUGUAGAUUGCUUUGGGCAGUAUGUCCAUUUUCAUGAUACUGAUUCUUCCAAUCCAUGAACAGGAGAUGUAUUUCCAUUCAUUUGUGUGAUCUAUUAUUUCUUUCUGCAUUGUUUUGUAGUUAUCCUCAUAGAUCUCUUUUCCCUCCUUGGUUAAGUAAAUUACUAAAUAUUUUAUUGUUUUGUUGCUAUUGUAAAAGGAAUUGUGUUCUUGAUUUUAUUCUCAUCUUGGUUGUUGUUAGUGUGUAGCAGUGCUGCUGAUUUGUAUACACUGAUUUGGUAACCUGAGACUUUACUGAAUUAAUUUUCUACUUAUAAUAUUAUAUCAUAGACAAACAGAAAUUUGACUUCCUUUUUUUCAAUUUGGAUGCCUUUUAUUUCUUUCUCUUCCCUGAUUGCUCUGAUUAGGAUUUCUGGUAUUAUGUUGAAUAGAAGUGGUGAAAGUGGGCAUUCUUGUCUUGCUCCAGUUCUUAAGGGCAGUGCUUUCAAUUUUUCCCCAUUCAGUAUGAUAUUGGCUAUGGGUUUGUCUUAUAUGGAUUUUGAGUAUCCUUAUAUGGAUCAUUAUUUUGAGGUACGUUCCUUGUAUGUCUGGUUUGUAUCAUAGAGAGUUGCUGGACUUUAUUGAAUGUUUUUUCUGUGUCUAUUGAGAUGUUCCUAUGGCUUUUAUUUUUAAUUGUUUAUGUGAUAAAUCCCAUCUAUUGACUUGCAUAUGUCAAACAUGCCUCUGCAUCCCUCGGAUGAAACCCACUUGAUCAUGGUGAAUUACCUUUUUUGAUGUGCUGUUGGAUUUGGUUGGCUAGGAUUUCCUUGAGGAUUUUUGUAUCUAUAUUCAUCAAAUGCAUUGGUCUGUAGCUUUCUCUUUUUUUGUUUUAUUAUUUCCUGGCUUUGGUAUUGGUGAUACUGGCUUCAUAGAAUGAGUUAGGAAGGAUUCUCUCAAUCUUUGGAGGAGUUUCAGUAGAAUUGGUACCAAUUAUCCUUUGAAUGUCUAGUAGAAUUUGACUGAGAAUCUGUCUGGCCAUGGGUUUUUUUUGUUGUUGUUGGCAGUAUCUUUUUUUUUAAUUACUGAUUCAAUCUUACUGAUUAUUAUUGAUCUGUUCAGGAUUUCUAUUUCUCCCUGAUUUGAGCAGGGGGAUUAUAUGUUUUCAGAAAAUUAUUCAAUUUCUCUAGAUUUUCUUUUUUGUGUGCAUAGAGUGUUCAUAGUAGUCUCAAAUCAUCUUUUGUAUUUUUGUAGUGCCAGUUGUAAUGUCUACAUUUUCUUUUCUAAUUGAGCUUAUUUGAAUUUCUUCUCUUCUUGAAUACUCUAGGAAGCAACUUUUCAAUUUCUUUAAUCUUUACAAAAAAAAACAGAUUUUUGUUUCACUGAUUUUUUUUCUUUUGGUUUCAAUUUCAUUUGAUUCUGCUCUGAUCCUUUUUAUUUCUUUUUACCUGCUAGCUUUGGGUUUGGUUUGUUCUCUUUUUCUAGUUCCUUGAGUCAUGACAUUAAAUUAUCAGUUUUUGAUCCUUCAAACUCUCUGAUAUAGGUGUUAAGUGCUGUAAACUUUCUUCUUAGCAUGGCUUUUGCUAUAUCCCAGAGUUUUUGAUAACUUGUGUCACUGUGAUCAUUCAUUUUGGAAAAGUCUUAAAUUUCCCUCUUUGUUUUGUUAACACAAAAAUCAUUCUGGAACAGAUUUGCUUAAUCACUAUGUAUUUGUAUGCCUUGAAAGAAUUGAUUUCUGAUUUGAUUCUGCUGUGCUCUGAGAAGAUACUUGAUACUGUUUCAAUAACUUAAAAUUUAUUGAGACUUCUUUUGUGGCCUAUCCCAUGGUCUAUCUUGGAGAAUGUUUCGUGUGCUGAGGAGAAGAAUGUGUAUUCUGAAGUUCUUGGAUAGAAUGUUCUGUGAGGGUCUUUUAGAUCCAUAUGUUCUAGACUACAGUUUAAGUCCAGUGUUUCUUUGUUGAUUUUCUGCCUCAAUGAUCUGUCUAGUGCUGUCAGUGGAGUUGAAGUCCCUCACUAUUAUUGUGCUGCUGACUAUUUCUUUUCCUAUAUCUAAUAGUAACUGCUUUAUGAAUCUGGGAGCUCCAGCAUUAGCUGCAUAUGUAUUUAGAAUUGCUACAUCUUCUUGUUGAAUUGAUCAUUUUAUCGUUAUGUAAUGACUUUCUUUGUCUUUUCCUUUUGCUGUUUUUGCUUUAACAUCUGUGUUAUCUAAUAUAAGAAUUGCUACUACUGCUUGCUUUUGGCUUCCAUUUCAAUGAAAUAUGUUUUUCUACCCCCUUACCUUGGGUCUAUAAGAAUUCUCACAUGUUAGCUGUAUCUCUCAAAGAUAGCAGAUAUUUGGUUUAUGAUUUUUUAAUCAGUUAUGCCAAUCUAUAUAUCUUAAUUGGAUGAUUUAGACCAUUUACCUUCAACAUUAAUAUGGAGAUAUGAAUGUGAAUGGCUAUUCCAGUCAUCAUGUUGUUACCUAGUGACCUUAUUUUAUUACUUGUCUUAUUGUUUUAUAAACCCUGUUAAUUUUAAGCUUUCAGGAGUGUCUAUUCCAAUAUGCAACAGCCUUUUGUUGCAAGAUUUAGAAGUCCUUUUAGCAUUUCUUAUACGGCUGGUCUAGUAUUGACAAAUUCUCCCAGCAUUUGCUUAUCUAAGAAAGACUUUAUUUCUUCUUCAUUUAUUAAAUUUAGUUUUGCUGUAUGCAAAAUUCUUGGCUGACAGUUAUUCUAAUUAAGGAGACUAAAGAUAGGACCCCAGUCCCUUCUAGAUGUCAUUUCUACUCAGCAGUCUCCUGUUAGUCUGAUAGAUUUUCCUUUACAGGUUACCUGAUGCUUUUGUCUCACUGCUGUUAGAAUUCUUUGUUUCAGGUUGAGUUUAGAUAAUCUGAUGACUAUAUGUCUUGAUGAUUUUCUUUGUGCAAUGAAUCUUCCAGGAAUUAUUUGAGCAUCUUUUAUUUAGAUGUUUAAAUUUCUAGCAAGACCAGGGAAGUUUUCCUUCAUUAUUCCCUCAAAUAGGUUUCCCAAACUUUUGCUUUUUGUUCUCCUCAGGAACACCUAUGAUUCAUAGGUUUGGCCAUUUUACAAAAUCCCAUAUUUUAUUCAUUUCUCUUAAUCUUUUUUCUUUUUUAUUUUAGUUUGACUGGGUUAAUUUAAAAGCUUUGUCUUCAGGCUCUGAAUUUCUUCUACUUGAUCUAGUCUAUUGUUAAAGCUUUCCACUGCAUUUUAUAAUUCCCUAAAUGUGUCUUCCAUUUCCAGUAAUUCUGAUGUUUUUUCUUUAAAAUAUGUAUCUCUUUAAAAUUUCUUUUAUUCAUGUCCUGAGUUGUUUCUGAAAUGUACUUUUACUGCUUUUUACCUUUCUCCUGUAUCUUUAUUAGUGACUUAAUAAACCACCUUUUGAAUUUUUCAUCUAGUAUUUCAAAGAUUGCAUUUGGGUUUGGAUCUACUGCUGCGGAGUUAGUGUACUCUUCUAAGGGUAGUAGAGAACCCUGUUUUUUUCAUAUUGCCUGAAUUAUUUUUCUCAUUUUUUUUCUUUUUUAGGUAGACUAUUUUAUCUAAUUAUUUUAAAAUUUAUUUUUGAUUCAAUUAAAAAAAAUUUUUUUCUUGUGAAUGUGACUCUAAGGUUUAUAGUUUAUUGUCACCUAGCUUCAGCUCUGGGUGUUUCCCAUGGUGAAUACUCUGUAAAAGUUUCUUGUUUAUAGAAAAUCUUUAUGUAAUGGCUUUCUCAGAUGCUAGUUGUCGCAGUGAUGUGCUGGGUAUGUGAGCAGGUUCACCAUCUCCUGUUGGGCUGAGAUAGCAGAGGUCUCAUGAAGCUUAUCUAUUCCCCAGUGGUAUGCAUUUUUAAAAAUGUUUUUUCCCUAGUAAUUUCUUCAUUGGGUUGAGCAGUUUAUGCUUCAGGUGAAUGGGAGAUGGCUAUGGUUAAAAUCUGGCUAUGGCUAAAGCAGGUGGAUGGACACAUUACCCUAAUUGUGUGCCAAGGUCUCAGACUUGACAGAGGUAGGUGGGGAAGCUUUCAGUGAAAUGCACUUAAAUCUUUCAAGGGAAAGGGAAGGAACCACCACAGCCUCCAUUUCAAGCCAGUAGGAAAGUGAUCCUCCUACCAGCCACAUUCUUGACCUGGUAUUCUGGCUAUUCAGAUCAGACCACUACCUCUUUUCAUCUGUAGGAAUGCUGAUGUGCUAUGUAGGGAGGGAUUGUGACUCUGCCUCCCAUUCAAGCCCAAACUUGGAGGGUACUCCUCCUGCAGGAAUGCAGUUACCCUGAAGUAUUCCAGAAAGGCUGUCUACAGAUGUACCCAUGCUCAACUCCAGUGGUAAAACCCCAGCUGUGUCUGCAGCGGUGGGCAAGGGGGAUAAGCCCCUUUUCUAAAACCCUUCAUGAGCACCAGGGAUGCCUAACUGUUGGGCUAGAUCUCCAGACUUUUCUCACUGAACCCAGCACUACACCUGUGCCUCUGCUGAAACAAAUUUCCCACAAUUAGAAAGUGCAGGGAUGCAAGGCCUGCAACCUGAUCUGUUUUGCCCCACAGGGUGCUCCCUUAAUGUGGUGCAUGCCAUCUUCCCUAGGAGUAACAGCAGUCCCUGAGGGCCAGAUUACUGGAAAUCCCUCUGCUCCUUUUAGUCUAGCCAUCCAGUGGAGUGUCCAUACCCCAGACUGUUGCUGGGGAAUGUCUGCAGAUGAUUCAGUGGUGUGACCUGUUCUCUAGUCUCCCAGCAGCAGGUACUGCGUCAGCCCUGAUGGAAGUAGGCGGGAAGUUAUGUAGAUUGUGUGAGAUUUCCUUGGUUAUAAAUAGCCUUAGUGUGUUGGCUUUCUCAAAUUUCUCAAAUGCCAGCUGUAGUAGUAAUGUACUGGGCACAUGUACAGACUCAAGACCUCCUGGUUAAUCAGCGUAAUGCAGGCAAUGGCAAUAGCUGAGGUUGUGCAGGUUUUUUCUUCCUGAGUGCUGUGUUAUUGUACCUGCAGAUGUUGUAAUGGGCUGUGAUGGCUGGCUUCCAGCCAGGAGGUGGCACUAGCAGAAGAGCACCAGCUGCGGUAGUAGCAAUGGGAUUUGUGCUUGCCUUGUGUUUCCCAGGGUAGGUACUUUGGUGUCUCAGGCAGUGAGUGGGACCAUGAAGCACCCAAAAUUCCCUGUUCAUUGUGUCACACUACCAGGGUGGGUGGAGGGGCAAAGCUACGUGGGGGCCAGGUCAGAAAGGUCCAUGAACUGGCUUCCCAUGUGCAGGCUCAAGCAACAGCCCCAGUGGGGAUCAGAGGGCAGUUCCCUGGCUGCUGUAGUAAUGUUCCAGUGAGGAGAAUAGCUGCCUCCACUGCACAAAGGGAUCUGCAUGGACAGUGGGGAGUAGCAGGUGGCAGUAAGCUGCACUCAGCCCCCACACAUUUGGCAAGGGAGGUCUGACACCCACAGUGUUCUGCUAGCAACAGCUAGCUAGGUUCCAGGCAGCCUGUACUUAGAACCCAAGACUGCCCCAGGCCAUAGUCUUCUUGACUGAGGCAGAAAUCGUGGCUUUCGGGCCAUCUCCCUCCUGAUCCACCCAGGAAGCAGAAGUGCUCAACUCCUGUGCUUACUUCCUGCUUUCUCAAUGGUUCUGAUCAUAAGGGUUCAUCCCCACUCAAGAUUAUAUCAUGAAUCUCAGUUGGGACCUUCUCUCAACCUGUGAACACUGGCUAAAUUAUCUGGCAGACUUCUGCAAGGUCCCCUGUGAGGUGGAAUCGAGAAUGGUUUCCCUCCAUCCCUGCUGUAGUCUGGGGGUGCACUCAAAUGAUAUCCCAAUUCUACUCCUUCUCAUAUAUUCCCCAGUACUCACUAAAUCAGCUCCAGCUCUUAGUAGGGUUGAGACCUUCCCCCUUGGCCUGGACUGCCUGGCUCCCUAGUGUAGAAUUGUGUCAUGGAGACAGUCUUUCCCACCUUAAACUCUACAGACUCCCAGUUCACCUGUGGGCUGCAGCCCACGGCUUAUUUCCGAGAGUCUGCAGUUUCUUUCAGUUUUUCAUUUAAAUCCCAGUGUUGUUUCUUGGAAAACUGUUUACGGCAUGAGUCUCAACACAAUAUUUUGUCUUUUCAAGUGGAAGAGGCAUACUUACAAUGCAUCCAGUCCACCAUCUUAGAAAAAAAAAAUUCUGCCAUUGCCAUUUUUAACAUCAUUUUGGUAUUCCACACUAAGAAUAUUCCAAUUCCAAAUUCUGGAGAGAGAAGGGACCUGAUUAGUGUAAUUUGGGUCAGGUGUCUCUCCUUUGUUCAGACAGCUAUGUCCAGGAAAUCAGGCCAUAUAGCUAGAUGCCCACUUAGCCAGGACUCUGAGCAUACUUUCUGAGAAUUGGCUCCCAGGUAUUCCUGCCACAUCAUGGAGUAGCUUAUGAAAAGCAAUUUAUUGAGAUAUUAUAGGAGAUCUAAUCUAGUCAUCCCACUGUAUCUGAGGUGAAUUGGUUCCAGGACUCCCUUGAAUACUAAAAUAAUUGGAUGCUCAAAUCCUGUAUUAAAAAAUGGUGCUGAUCAAGUGCAGUGGCUCACGCCUAUAAUCCCAGCACUUUCAGAAGCUAAGGCAGGCGGAUUGUCUGAGGUCAGGAGUUUGAAACCAGCCUGGCCAAUGUGGCGAAACUCCAUCUCCACUAAAAAUACAAAAAUUAGCCAGUUAUGGUGGUAGGAGCCUGUAAUCCCAGCUACUCGGGAGGCUGAGGCAGGAGAAUUGCUUGAGCCCAGGAGGCGGAGGUUGCAGUGAGCAGAGGUCGCAUCAUUGCACUCCAGCAUGGGCAACAGAGCAAGACUCCAUCUCAAAAAAAAAAAGGUGGAGUAUUUGAAUAUUACCUAUACACAUUUUCCAUAUACUUUAAAUCAUUUCUAGAUUACUCAUAAUACCUAAUACAACGUAAAUAUUGUAUAAAUUGUGGUUAUACUGUAUUGUUUUUUUCUUGCAUUAUUUUACAAUAAUUUUGUUUGUAAAAAAUUUUUGUUUUUAUUUAUCUAUUUGGAGUAUUUUCCUUGUGUGGUUGUUUGAAUCCUUGGAUGCAGAACUCACAGAUAUGAAGGGCCAACUGGAUCUGAAAGGGGCAGUAGGAAACAAGGAGUUUACUAAUUAUUCAUUCUUCUUUGCCCUCAAAGUUGGACAGAGAUUUAAGAAGCAGUGUCUGUAACUGGAAAAGACUAAAAGGGGUUACGAAGUGGUAUUUUCAGGGGAAAGCCAAGACUCUAUCAGGGCAAUUAGGAGGAAGAGGAGAGAGAAUUUGAAAAAAGAUCAAAAAUAGGAGAAAGGAUUUUUUUCCAUAAGAAUUUUAGGUUUUGGUUAGCGGUAUUGACAUUUUUUUUUUCAUCUUGGGAUUACAUAUGCAUUAUUGAAUGCCCAUGUGUAUUCAAUACAAUAGUCAAUGUGUAUUCUAUAUGCAUAACAUUACUUUCAUUUUAAAUAAUGCAUUCCAAGUCCAAGCAGAAAUAUUAUAAAUUUUAAAAAAGCAACCCAAGUUAGAUUGAGAUUUCCCCAUGAUUGUUGAAUGAUUCAGUAAAAAGUGAGUGAGUGAAUGAAAUUAGUUAGUGCAAACCAACCAAGAGUGAAAAGUAGGUGUAUUUGGAAAGUAUCAGUGUUAAAUAAUUUAUAUAAUUCACUUCCGUGAGAAAUACUUGCUAUUCUGUUAGAUUGCUAGCAGAACUUGUGUUCAAAAUUAAUCUCGAAUAGUUAGGCCAAGUCAGAUCAACAUAUUUGCAGAAGGUUUUUAGGUUAGUAUACAAUUGCACAUUAUAGACGAACUAUUGAUUAGACACACCCGUUUAGAGGAAUUUUUUCUCUCUAAAACUUCCUGUGAAGAGAUAGGUUUUUAGGAUAAAGACCUGGGCAUGAAGAGUUGGACAGAAAUCAAAGGGAAACUUGUUAUCCUUGUUUUUCUUUCUGAGUGAAAAGCAAAAGGUAAAUAUCAUGGUCAAAUGGAAAAGUAAAUUGGAUUUUAAAUUUUCAUGUGUAUUUUCCCAGUUUUAGGUGCUCAGAUUUCAUUUAGUGGUUCAGUUAUAAUUGACAAGACCCCUUAAAAUGUGACACAUCCACUUGAGGGUUGAAGUUUUUCAUGUAUCUGUUAGGUGAAUGCUUUUACAUUACUGGAUUGUAACUCUGUUAUUUAACAUGUGUCAUGUUUAUAACAUUUUAAAUGUGUGUCGGGGGUAUGUAUGUAUACAUAAUUAUGCAUAAUUUAAAUUAUUAUUAGAUCCUAGGAGAUAAUGUUGUGGUUUUAUGUUCUCCAUUUUAUUAAUUAGAGGAUUGAAAAAUAGGUAAACAUGCAGUAAAUCUAUAACCAAUAAAUGUUGUAUUUCAAUUGAUUUUUAACUUUUAAUGGGAUAUAUUUCCAGAAAAAAAGAAACUCUGAAUGUUUGAUGGAAAUUUUCAAGGAUUUUGUUGUCUCCUGGCUUCAUGGGUUGAAUUGUGUCUCCCCAAAAUUCAUGUAAUGAAAUUGUAACCCCCAUUAUCUCAAAAGAUGACUGCAUUUGAUUGUUGCAAAUAUAAUUAGUUAAAAUGAGGUUAUAUUGGGGUAGGGCGAGACCCUAGUCCAGUCACUGGUAUUCUUAUAAAAAGGGGAAAUUUGAACAUACAGACAUGCAUGGAGGGAAGACCAUGUAAAGAGACACAGCAAGAAGAUGGUCUAUCCACAAGCCGUGGAGAGAGUCCCAGGAUAGUUCCUUCUCUCGCAGCCCCUUAGGGAGCCAGCCCUGCUCACACCAUGAUUUUGGACUGUCUCCAAAACAAUGAGACAAUAGCAUUUCACUCUUUAAGCUACCUGGCUUGUGAUGUUUUGUGACGACGGCCCUAGCAAAUGAAGACACCUGGCUAUAUGUCAGUAGUAGCUUCCCUACAGAAUGCUACAGUCUCUCCCAUGCUAGAGACAGACAUUGUGUUAGAAAUUCCAAAUCCAUGCCCCAGCUCCUAGAACUUUCCCUGUUCUUCUUCUUAACAUGAGACAUUUAUAAUAUCUCCAUUAUAAAUGGAGCCGUGAUGUGAUUUUCCAGGAAGACCUAUAGAAUCACCUGAAAAUUCCUGAAUAAGAAUGAGUCCAUUCUCUGUUUUAUGGAAUUCAUAAAAAGAGGUAGGUAGGCCACCCACGUAUAAUACACAGACCCAGUAGGAAUCCUAGGCUCUUGCUUUGGCUCCAUGUUCCAUGGCCUUGGGUCACUCACUUAACUUAAUCUGAGUCUAAGUCUUUUUAUUUGUAAAAUAGAAGUUAGUCUUUUUGUGACUUUGUGAGUCUAAAUUCAAAUAUCUUUAUUGCAUAAGCCAAAGUAAGCAAAUAUGUAGUAAUAUCACUUAAUAGUUUUCAUGGUUAUUUUUCUCACCACUUUCAUAUGUUAUCCAAGUAAAAAAUAUCUUUGGUUAAAAUAAUGGCAAAGUACAGGAUAUCUUAUAAUGCAAAGUACAGCGUCUGCUUUAGCUGUCCCCAACCUCCUCAGUGCCUAGCUUACUUCACAGAGGAAACCACUUUUAACAGUUUCUAUAUUUAGCUCUUUUAGUGGUUACCACCCUAACUUUAAUAAUAUGCUCAUGCUGCAUUUCCUUGAUAAUCCACUCCAGACAUUAUCGCUUUGCUCCCCACCACUUACUACUUUUAAAGUGAAGAAUCACUGAUUCAGCAGAUAUUCCCGAUAGCCUGUAGGUCCACAGACCACUUUUGGAGUCUCACUUUCUAUGGAUCUAAUUUGAACAAAGAGCUUUUGCUUCAUUCAAAGGGAAACCAGGGAUUAGAUGGUCACGGGGCAUAGCACAGAGCGGGAAGGCAUUUGGCUUAAUUACUCAAGCUUAAAUUGGGCCUGAGUUGUAAUGAGUUUACUCUUAUAUUUUUCUGUCUGACCACAUUUAUUUUAAAUGAAAUUGAAACAAAAGGUGAACUUAAGGCCGGGCGCGGUGGCUCAAGCCUGUAAUCUUAGCACUUUGGGAGGCCGAGGAGGGUGGAUCAUGAGGUCAAGAUAUCGAGACCAUCCUGGUCAACAUGGUGAAACCCCGUCUCUACUAAAGAUACAAAAAAUUAGCUGGGCAUGGUGGCGCGUGCCUGUAAUCCCAGCUACUCAGGAGGCUGAGGCAGGAGAAUUGCCUGAACCCAGGAGGCGGAGGUUGCGGUGAGCCGAGAUCGAGCCAUUGCACUCCAGCCUGGGUAACAAGAGCGAAACUCCGCCUCAAAAAUAAAAAAAUUAAAAAAUUUAAAAAAUAAAUAAAUAAAAUAAGGUGAACUUAAAAUAUUGUAUGUUUCUUUUAUAAAAAGGAAAUUCUCUACCCUGAUAGCUCAUUACCGUAAGAAGUACCACUUAUUAAGACAUACUUAACAGGUAUGGUGCUUCAUUCUUCAAUUUUAAACAGUAACUAAACUGCUAUGAAGAUGUUAGCUGAUCAUUUGUGGUGUCAGUUUGAUUUUGGUUUCGCAGCUUUCCCCUUGUAGAAAUUUGCUAUUGGUUAUUCAAAGAAUAAGACACAAGAGAGAAAACAGAGUUGAAACCAUUACUGUUUCUUGGAAAAACAGCAUUUCUGCAAUUCAGAUUUUUCUGGAAAUGCUAUAAAGUAAAUGACUUUCACUUAUAAUUCAGAAAACCUCAUUAUCAUCCAUAAUGUCAGCAAAGCAUAUUUUAGAAAAGUGUGCAUGUUGACCAUUUUGGGUUGCUUUGAGCCCUGCGCAAAGAAUGUGACACAUCUGUUGCUCAUUUCUGACUCCUGAUUACGUUGAAUGAUUCACCAAAGUGGAGUCAGAAAACUCUGUUGUUAAUGGAGUUUCAUAUUUAACUAACUAUAUAUGCCAUAGCCACAGAUAAAUAUUAAAGCAUAGCUUAAGAGGAGAUAUUCAAAGACAUGUCUGCAAAUGGAGCAAGCGAAUCUGGUGGUGGGUUGAAAAGAAAUGUAGAAGGGGUUGUAUUGUCAGCACUUUCUGCUGCAUAUCAGUCCUCUUUCUGGAAAUUCUUUCUUGCCUUGUUGGUUUCAUGAUAGCACUCUUGGCCGGGUGUGGAGGCUCACACCUCUAAUCCAGCACUUUGGGAGUUUGAGGUGGGCAGAUCACCUGGGGUCAGGAGUUUGAGACCAGCCUGACAAACAUGGAGAAACCCUAUCUCUACUAAAAAUACAAAAUUAGCUGGGCGUGGUGGCUCAUGCCUGUAAUCCCAGCUACUUGGGAGGCUGAGGCAGGAGAAUCGCUUGAACAUGGGAGGGAGAGGUUGUGGUGAGCUGAGAUCACGCCAUUGCACUCCAGCCUGGACAACAAGAGCAAAACUCCGUCUCAAAAAAAAGAAAAAAGAAAAGAAAAGAUAGCACUCCUUCCUGGUUCUCCUGCUCUGCCACAGAUAUAUACACAUGUAUAUUUUUUAACUAGAUCAUCAUUCCUCAUAUGUCUCCAAUAGGCUUUUACUAAGGUGUCAUCCACUGUUACUUUUUUGCAACACAUCCACCAGUUUUUCAUUUGCCCCCACUGGUCUUUACUCAAUAUAAUAUAUCCAGAGCCCUGUGUAGAUACAUCACAUUGUUUUCGCAGAUAACCCUCAAAUCCCUUUCUCUAGCCCUUGUCUCUGUCCUGAACUUCAGGCAUGUCUACUGUAUGUUCCUACAAGGAUGACCCAGAAAUUUCUCAAACGUGACAUACCUCAAAACAAAGCUAUCAUUUUUCACUCAUCUAUAAAACUCCCUUCCUCCUAGUGCCCCUUAGUUAGGUAACAGACUCAUGCUUUAUCUACUAACACAAGCCAGAAAACUAAGGCUCCAGCUCUGUCCCUACCUAUCUCUCAGAGUUCAUUUUACCCACAGUUUGCAAAUUUGUAUUCCUCUUUUUAUGCCCACUUCCCUGUCCCAGUCAGAUCUUAUCCUGUUUCUGGACUGCAGCAAUAUCUUCUAUAGUUGGGCUUUCAGUCAUCAGCUUCUCUAAUUCUCUACUUUGAACUUUUAUUUUAUUUUAUUAUUAUUCUUUUGAGAUGGAGUCUCGCUCUAUCACCAGGCUGGAGUGCAGUGGCUUGAUCUCGGCUCACUGCAACCUCCGUCUUCUGGAUUCAAGCAAUUCUCCUGCCUCCGCUUCCAGAGUAGCUGGGAUUAUAGGCAUGUACCACCACACCUGGCUAAUUUUGGAUUUUUAGUAGAGCUGGGGUUUCACCAUGUUGGCCAGGAUGGUCUCGAUCUCCUGACUUCGCGAUCCACCUGGAUUGGUCUCCUAAAGUGCUGAGAUUACAGGUGUGAGCCACUGUGCCCAGCCUUAAAUUUCAUUUUACCCACAGUUUGCAAAUUAGCGAGAGCUAAUUUACUUAAUAGAGGUGAGGAUCAUGUCAUUUGCCUGCUCAAAAAAUCCUUGAUUGAUUCUCUGUCAGGAAACAACUGAAACUUCAUAGCCUGACAUCCAACAGUUUUUCAUCUGUGCCCACUGGUCUUGACUCAAUAUAAUAUAUCCUGGGCCCCACGUGGAGCCUGACAUAUUGCAGAGGUCUGAUAAAUAAAUGAAUAAAUGAACAAAUGAAUGAUGGAGUGGAUAAAUGAAUAAAUGACUCACUAGGCAUUGAGACUGCCAAACAGACGCAUGCAUCAUGCUGCCAAGAAAGCUAUUUCCCUCCUUCUGAAAUGGGUGAAAUCCUAUUCAAUAUGUCAUUUUUUAGUUUUUUUAGAUGAUUCCAGUCGCAAUCAAUUGCUUCUCAACUUGGGAUUCUAAGACAUUUUAUUCAUGCUACAGUUGUAGCAGUUAAUAUAUGUCAAGGUUAUUUAUAUGUGUUGGGUGUUCACAGAGACGGGGUACUCUUGAUGGCAAUGAAGACUCAGCUGCUAGCAAAAAGGCUGGUGCACUUGGGAAAUCAGUCUAUGUCUGAAUUUCCACCACCACUAAUUUCCUUCAGUCAUAUUAUGUCUUUCCUGAAGUCCUACAAUAGCUUUAUAAGUGUUUUCCCUACCUCCAUUGUCAUCUUAAAAUCUACUCCUCAUAGUCCUGCUAGAUGAAUUCUUUUGUUCUGAAAAUGAAAAGCUUGCAGAAAUUCCAGAGCACUGAAGAAAUUAGAGGUCAAGAUUCCUAAUUCAGAGGUCAUUGCCUUCUUAAAUAUAUCCGAAAUUUCCGCCUUUUUUGGUGGCUCAAGUUGUUUUAGCGUUAGGUUGCAAAAUAAAUAGAAUAUCAUUUUGUGGGGGUUGGAGAGAUCUUUCUGUAAAUUUUUGGCUGCCUAACCAUUUCACAUUAUUUGUACUUUGUGAGUAAAUACAGAGUCAGGAAGAAAUGUUCCUGGGAACAGGAAGGAGACAUAUCUAAGCCCGAAAUGAACUUAGUGACUUGGUGUUUUCCCUGCUAACAGGAGUCUUAGAACCCACCUGGGUUGUAUCAGAUAAAUACAAUUAUUGCAGUUCAACUAGGUCAUGUUUGUGCUCACACAAAGUCUGGAUGUGGCAGAAGUAAAUGACCGGACAUUGUUAACAGAGCUGUAGUUUGCAAAACAGCAAAGUUUUUCAGACCUGAGAAAGGGAGUGAGUUCAGAGAAACAUCAGUCUAACCAAAGUGUUUCUGCUGCUGCUGCAGAGGCCACUGUUAAUUGGAAUUGCUUAUUACUUCGGUUACUUUCAAUAGUGCUUUGGGGGAUACUCUUGCCCUCAUAUUGUCUAAAUCUGUCCCUGUCACUGGUGACUGGAUAAACUAGGGCAUUUUAACAGGCAUCCUAUUACCUGACAGUAGGCAUCUUGUUUUCUGUAUUAGAAGUAGACAUGUCUCCCGGGAUUUAACCUUCUGUUCAAAGCUUGAACCACUUUGGUAGGAAAAAUGUGGUCCUCAUAAUGUUUUCCAGUCACCUGUGGCUUGCAAAGUACUUAAUGCUUAUUAACUCAUUAAUCCUCUUCAUGAAUCCAGUGAGGAAGGUAAAUGUCAAGUUAUGUUUUCCUCUUUCCAAGGGCGGUGAAUUUGAAGCACAGACUGUCUGGGACAUACCCAUAGCAAAUUGGGAGAAAGGGGCCUACCGUUUUUGAGAUGUGCAAACCCAAAACGUAGCAGCUGAGUUUUAAAAAACUGUAACUUCAAAGUGGCUCUCCUCUCUAAAGUCAUCAAUUAGAAAUCCUCAGUGGGCAGAUCUGGCAGGAGGCAUUGGCUGAAAAAUGGAACUUUGAGAGCAAUAACAUCUGCUCAGCUGGGUGGGGAACAGAUGCUUGUAGUGUCAAGAUUGUGAUGCAUGGUCUUGGGAUUUUUCCAAGUUCAACAUGUUUGUCAGUCUUUUGAGGGCCCUAUUUAUCCAUGGGGUAAGGAUUUGUUUAACCAACUAUUUCCUCCUAAUCCUUGCAAAAACAUGUAUGAAGCACACAGCAGCAGAUGAAACCAUCAUAGGAACUCUUUCAAAGGACCAGUCAAUGGCUCCUGGAAAGUUCUGUCCUUCCCCAUUCUAAAUCUGAGUGGUAGAAAGGCAUCCUACUUGAAGACUGGUAUUAGAUGCUUACUGCUAAAACUGGAAUGUUAAUUCCCACUUUUAAUUAAAAGCCCUCAUUUCUAUUCCUUGGAUCUAUUGGUUAGGUGAUUUCUUGGGUUCUGGCCAACCAUAGAGGGGAGCUCUAAUCUGCACACUUCUUAGAGAACCACGUUGCCGCCUUAUCAUUUUCCUAAUGAAGAAUGCAUAGCCCAAGGACAUGUAGAUUGUUUAUUCAUCCAUGUGUGCAUUUAUUCAUUUAAGAAGUACUUUUUCAUUUUUCACCAUGUGACAACCAUGUGCCAAGCUCCUGGGGGCACUGGUAUGACAGGCUUAUGAGGCGGGAGCAGGUGGGCCAUUUAGCAGGAGGCCUCAUAUUCAUAAAAGGCCUCACUUUAAGACUGUUGACAUUGUUCCCAAGUGAACUUUUAUUUUGGAUGUAAAUAGGGUCUUUUGCAAACUGUAAGCAUUUAAAAAUAUGUGAGAGUUUUGGUAAUCCUGCUUUGGCAUUUCAUAACAUCAUAACAUGUCCACAGGUUUCAAAAGUGGAAGUGACCUGGGCUGGUUACUUCCUCUUGGAGUUUGUAGAAAUGGCUCAGACACCCUCCUUGUGUCUCAUUACUCUGUAGGAGAUCAGACAUCCUUCUCCCCAAGAAACAGUUUAGGUGGUACCCCAGGAUAAGAGAACAUCUGGAAGCAGCCAUGGAAUAUAAAUGUUAGACAGCUGGAAGAAGCCACAGAGAGCCUCCAGUGCUUAUGUGUUAGUCAAGGGAACUGACCUGAAAGAGGUGCAGGGGGACAUCCCUAAGACCUAAGCACAGUUUGUGGCACAGUGAGACUAGAAUGGAGGAUUUGUAAUCUGAGGAGCUCUGCUGUUUCCUCCGUGGAAAUGGCCCCUUGACAAAAGAAUGACACUUAUACUGUGCUUUACCUUGUUAAGUGGUCCUCUGCACCACUUCGUAGACAUAGGCUGAUUUCAGCUUCUUUCUGUUCCUUCCCUCCCUCCCUCCCUUCCUUCCUUCUUCCCUCCCUCCUUCCUCCCUUCUUUCCUCCCUCCCUCCCUUCCUUUCUUUCUUCCUUCCUCCUUUCGUUCUUUCUUUUCUUCUCCUUUCUUUGUCUACCCCCAUUCUCAUUGCUCUCUUCUUGUCUUUCUUUCUCUGUCUUUUAAAUUGAGUGCAUCCUGGUUUUAUACUUACUGCCACUGUCUCUUUGCUAUACUCCUCCAUUGUUCCUACCAACAAUAGAGGUUGGCCCACAUCAAAAGCAGAAAGUUUGGUUUUCAUCAGAACAAUAUUUGCAUUGUGAGCUUUGAUCUUGACUUCUCCUGCCUGGGGCCAGAGCAAGACUUCACCGCAACAGUGAACUCAAGUCCCUGUGUUCUCUCUGAAGCUAGGAUCACCAGGAUGUGGUUAGUGUGUGGCGGAAUGAGUGUCACUGGGAUUCAGAGCCUGCAAUGAGUUUUUUUCAGUAAGUCCCAAUUGUAUGAGAAAGAGGGAGAGGAAAAAAACCCAUACAAAGUGAGCAACUCCCUUCUCCCCUCAAAACACAAAGAAGACAAACUAGGCAAGAUUGACUAUUUUCCUGUUUCAUCCUGUUCCUAUACCUUGUCUUUGAGUUUUAGACAAGUAUGUCAUGACAAAAAUUUUGUUUUCCCUGGAGUUUCAGAAUUCUUUGAGCCGCCUCAUGGAUAGUACUCAAUAUGCCAAAGACUUCAAACUUAGGAUGACAAGCCUGAACUUAACAUUUUCCCCUAGAAACCCACUCUUCUGGCUGGGCACGGUGGCUCAAAGUAAUCCCAGUACUUUGGGAGGCUGAGGCGGGUGGAUCACUUGAGGUCAGGAGUUUGAGACCAGGCUGGCCAAUAUGGUGAAACUCCGUCUCUACUGAAAAUACAAAAAUUAGCCAGGUGUGGUGGUGUGUGCCUGUAGUUCCAGCUACUCAGGAGCUUGAGGCAGGAGAAUGCCAUGAACCCAGAGGCAGGCGUUGCAGUGAGCCAAGAUCACACCACUGACUCUAGCCUGGGCAACAGAGCGAGAUCCAUCUCAAAAAGAAAGGAAGGAAGGAAGGGAGGAAGGGAGAGAAACCAAAGCAAACAAACAAAAAAACCUGCUCUUUUUCUUUGUUUUUUGUAAUCUGCCACCAGGCUCCCAGGCUAGAAACCUUGGAUUCAUCUUACAUUCCUCUCUCAUUCACCACAUUCUCUCAAUUCUGCCACCUAAAUGUAAUUCUCUCAAUUACUGCCUUCCCUCCACUGCAUAUGCCACACAGCUGCCAGGGAGAUCUGCCUAAAAUGCCAAUCUGAUUGUGCCAUCCUCCUCCUUCAAAAGCUCUGUGCAUUCCCCAGACUCAGAGUCACACAUCUACAGUCUUAAGCAGGAGACAGCCACACGGCCCUGGCUGUAGCUUAACGAGAUAGCCCUACUGUAACUCAUGCUGCAGCCACACUGGAUGCCUGAUCACAUCUUCAUGCGGUGUGCUCGUGAAUGCCUCUGCAUCUUUGUGCCCGUUAAUCACACCACCUGGAAUAUUCUUUCUCUUUCUUUCACAACUGAUUCCAUUUUGUUCUUUCUUCUAGAUUCGUCUCAAUGCUCUCCAUAUUUAGGUCUUCCAAGGCCUCUCAGGUAGUUGGUUGCUUCAUCCUCCCAUGUGGAUUUGAUUUACUGGAAGGAACAUGGGCUUUGGAGUUCCACAAACAAAACUUAAGAACCUGUUCCACUCUGAAUGUCAUUGCUUCAACCAUAACGUAGACACAGUGCCAACUCCAAAGAGCUACUGAGAGAAUUAAACAAAGAAGAACUUGGUUUCCUAUAAACAUUAGUUUCCUUUCUAUAGCAACUUUUACAUAGAAAAUUGCAUAGUGGUUGAAAGACUAUGGCCCUGAAUCCAGAAGAUGUGACUUUAAAGCCUAGCUCUGCCACGUGCUUAUAUGAGUGACCUUGAACGAUUACAUUUGCUUGAGCAAAUUAUUCUCCUUUCAAUGUCCUUAUCCCUAUAAUAAUAGUACCUACUUCAUAGGGUGCUUCAGAAUAUUAAAGAAGAUAAAUAUAAGGUUAUUAUAUUUGGCACAUAAUAAUCACACAGUGGAUUCUGGCAGUAAUCAUUUUUUCCCAUACUUGCCCUUCUGUAUCAUAAUUAUUUGUUUAUAGAUUUUUCCCUGUGAACUUAAGGAUUCCUAAAGGGACCAGAUGGUGCCUUACUCAUAUUUGUAUCCUCAGCUACUAUCAUGGAACACAGUGUAAGCAUUUGGAAGUUAUCUCUUUAAAUGGAUAAGGCCUGGCAUGUUUCAUCUGAAGUUUUACUUCUGGACUGUGGUCAGCAGCACAAUCCAGAAUUCUUCAUGGGUACUGCCCCAUGCUCACAUCCAUGCCAAUUUCUCUUUAUUUUUAUUAUUUAUGUAUUUAUUUGUAAUAGAGAUGGGGUCUCACUAUGUUGUCCAGGCUGGUCCCAAGCUCUGGGCUGAAGCAACCCUCCUACCUCAGAUUUCCAAACUGCUGGGAUUACAGGCAUGAAGCAUUGUGCCCAGCCUCAAUCUGUCUUCAAAACCCACUUCAGAAUAGGCUUCUCUAAGAAGACUGCCUCAGUAUUACCCCAAGUUCAUUCAGAACUCUCUUUUAAAUCUCAGUUCCUGUUGCUUUACUGGUUUUUAAAAAUUAUUAUUUCACACGUAUGUCCUCAGUGGGCUCCUUUUUUUAGGUCUUAAAUUAUUUUAUUCAUUUAUUUUUAAUUAUAAUUUUGGAGCUGCAUAGUUGGCAUAUAAGUUAUUGGGGACUGGACUACCUCCUUUCUGUGAUCUGUGAGUGAUCUUGCCGCCACCAACAAUAGCACAUAUGUUGUGGGGGCUUUUAAUAAAUGUUACCUGGGUCGGGUUGCCUCUCAUGGUAGCAUCUUUUUUCCCCACCUUCUUUUCUUUUUCUUCUCUGUUUUCUUCAAGGGCCCCUCCAGGCUUGAAUGAAUAUUGUGAUUGCUAUUUUAGACUAGAGGAACUUCGAUUCCUGCCCUGGACCCCAGAGGAGAAAAUCUGUUCUCUCCUCUUUCCCAUCUGGCAGGCAUAUACAAUGUGGGAUAUUCCUCACCCUUCUCAUUUCAGCUUAGUUGACUCCAGUGGUAUUGGAUGCCAGGAGACAUUUAUUCUCCUCUUUUGCUUGUUUAUUUUACACACACACACACACACACACACACAUACACACACACGGACAUACAAAUACAUAUUAUAAGUAUGCCCCUGGCCAAGCAUGGUGGCUCACACCUGUAAUCCUAGCACUUUUGGAGGCCAAGGUGGGUGGAUCACUUGAGGUCAGGAGUUUGAGACUAGCCUGGCCAACAUGGUGAAACCCCGUCUCUACUAUAAAUGCAAAUAAUUAGCUGGGUGUGGUGGUGUGAACCUAUAAUCCUAGCUACUCAGGAGGCUGAGGCGGGAGAAUGGCUUGAACCAAGGAGUCAGAGGCUGCAGCGAGCUGAGAUUACACUGCUGCACUCCAGCCUGGGUGACAUAGUGAGAUUCCAUCUCAAAAAAAAAAAAAAGAAAGAAAAAAUUAUGUGACCCUAACACCAUAUGUGAGAGACAAUCUAGAGGGUUCUGGACAGGACAGAUAUAAAACAGACACAGGCUGGGUGCAGUGGCUCACACUUGUAAUCCCAGCACUUUGGGAGGCCAAGGCAGACGGAUCACUUGAGGUCAGGAGUUCAAGACCAGCCUGGCCAACAUGGUGAAACCCUGUCUCUACUAAAAAUACAGAAAUUAGCCAGGCAUGGUGGUACAUGCCUGUAAACCCAGUUACUUGGGAGGCUGAGGCAGAAGAAUCACUUGAGCCUGGGUGGUAGAGGUUGUAGUGAGCCAAGAGUAUGCCACUGCACUCCAGCCUGGGCAAGGGGAGUGAAACCCUGUCUCAAAAAUAAAUAAAUAAAUAAAUAAAUAAAUAAAUAAAUAAAUAAAUAAAUAAAAUAAAACAGGUACAAAACAUGUGUCGAAAUAUUGUUUCACAACAGAAUUCUUAAGAGCAGUAUAUUUUAGAUUUCAGUUAGUAAGGGUAAAUUCUAUUAUAAAGAUGCUCAGGGAGCUUGAUGUAAAUUAAAGCUCUCUGUUUGGGUUUAAUUAAACAAAAAUGAGGCAUAGUUUUGUUUUGUUUUAAGCAUGUUUUUCCAUUGUCUUCAAGCCACACUUUCAAGCUGAAAAUGAUUCUUGAUCAGGGAGAAGACAGAAACCAAUUAAGGGCUUCUCCAAUCCCAAUGGAGGGACGACUAGAAAAAAGCUGCACACGUACUCCACUGCGUUUACACAUUCUUAAUGCAUUUGUUUUCUUAGCAAAGAAAUUUAAACACUUGUGAUACAAUGGAACAGAAAUUUUUUAUACAUUUUCCCUAAAUCUGUCUUUCUCUUUAUAUUUUCAUAUGGAAAUAGAAAUUUGUCAGGGGCAUUUUUUUUUUCAGAAUAAUUAUUUUUCCACUUUUCAGAUGAUAGAAAUGAUAUAAACUGAAAGAGAACACACCACCUAGCAUUUUCUUCAAUUUUAUAAAUUUGGAUCUUUUAUCUCAUUCUCUGGAUCCAGAGAUUCUAAUUACUGUCUGGGUCCCUGGACCUUUCUCUUUUCCCAAAACCUUGUUCACCUCCCUCUGGGACAGAGCAGUUUCCCUUCCUGAGGAUACUGAGCUGCUUGCUGGUUUUUUUUCUCUUCUGCCCACAAAUCCAGUAUUGUUGCAUCUCUAAAGUCUCCUUGAUCUCUUCCCACAUAAUAACUUAUUUUACCUUUCCACUGAGUGACCAAACUCCUGGGUAAAAAAUGACAAUCCAGGAAUUAGAUGAUUCAAAGUGACUCUUCUUGUUACAAUUCUGCGAUCAUUAUUUCAUACCUCUACCUAUUCCCUAGCAUAAUUAAAAUGUCUGUAAACGGGUACCAGAAACAAACUGCAUAAGAAAAUAAGCACAGACCAUUGAAAUUACAUGGUUCCAUCAUUAAAGGGCUGCACUUUUUUUUUUCUCUUAAGAUUGAGUUUUGCUCUUGUUACCCAGGCUGGAGCGCAGUGGUGUAAUCUUGGCUUACUGCAACCUCUGCUUCCCAGGUUCAAGUGAUUCUCCUGCCUCAGCUUCCCGAGUAGCUGUGGUUACCGGCACCUGCCACCACACCCAGCUAAUUUUUGUAUUUUAGUAGAGAUAGAAUUUCAUCAAUGUUGGCCAGCCUGGUCUUGAACUCCUGACCUCAAGUGACCUGCCCACCCCGGCCUCCCAAAGUGCUGAGGUUACAGAUGUGAGCCCCUGCACCUGGCCUAAAGAUUUGUACUUUAAGAUAUACAUCUUUCACAGCAUAUUUAUAUUCUCCUUUUUCAUAUUGGAGACUAAAUUUUUGUAAGAUGUGGUUUUCAGAUAAGCACUUGAAAUAAGGCAAAAAAAAAAAAAAAAAAAGGAAGAAGCCUUAUUGCUGGACCUAGCUUAUAUCUUUUUUUUUUUUUUUUUUCGCUCUUGUUACCCAGGCUGGAGUGCAAUGGCGCGAUCUCGGCUCACUGCAACCUCCGCUUCCUCGGUUCAGGCAAUUCUCCUGCCUCAGCCUCCUGAGUAGCUGGGAUUACAGGCAUGUGCAACCGUGCCCAGCUAAUUGUUUUGUAUUUUUAGUAGAGACGGGGUUUCACCAUGUUGCCCAGUAUGUUCUCGAUCUUUUGACCUCGUGAUCCACCCGCCUCGGCCUCCCAAAGUGCUGGGAUUACAGGCUUGAGCCACCGCGCCUGGCCCCUAGCUUAUAUCUUAAAGAGAGAGGUGGAUGUCGUCUGCAGGGAAUGUGACCUCACUUUCUGCAAAGUGGAUAGUGGUGAUUUCUCUUGUUUCUUUGUAUCAGUUCCUCCACCAGCAUCUAUAUUUCUAGGGAGGAAAAGCCACCUGGCAAUGUAGAUCAACAAAUAGGGGAAGGCAUCAGUCAUGACUACUGUAGAGUCAGAUGUUGACGUAGCUAUCAACAUAAACUGGUAGGAAGAGAUGCUUUUUUUCCUGAUGGAAAAGACAGCUAGGAUGCAUAGAAAUGUUUCCAGAAAACACAGUGGCUGCUUACAACCAACUCUCAUUGGUUAGUAAGAGAAAAACUACGUGUAGUAGAACACUGAGGUAAGAGUUCAAGCCUGUUUUUGUUCUCGACCCUGUCCAACAGCAAAUUUGUUUUGUCAGUUUGAAUAAAUCAUAUAAUAAUAUUAUGUAUUAGACAUAUACUGAGCAUUCUUUUGGCAUUGUGUAUAUGAUGAUCAUCUAUUCUGUAGGAAACCAUCCAAAGCUUCAUAAUUUAAAAAAAUAUAUAUUCUUUCUUACCAUUCUGGGGAUUGAUGUGCAUAGCUGAGCAGCUUUUUUGGGGGUACCUCUAUAUGGUUGCAGUUAAAUUGUCAGGCAUUGGAAGGCUCCACUCACAUGACUGCAACACCUAGGCUAAGAUGGCUGGAUCAGCUGAGGAUUCUUGGAGCAGCUCCCUCUGUAUAGCCUCUCCAUGUGGUUCACUUGGGUUUCCUCCAGCAUGGUGAUCUCAGACAAUGGGACUUCUUACAUGGCUGCUGGCACUCUGCAGAGUGAGCAUCUAGGAGAUAGGAAGUGAAAGCUACCAGUAUCUGAAAGUCUGGCCCCAGAAACUGAGCAGCCUCAUUUCUGCCAUGUGCUCCACAAAGCAGUCUCAGCUCCUCCAGACUAAGGAAGAGGAGAAAUUGACUCACUUGUCAGUGGGAGGAGUGUCAAAGUAGGUGCGGUCAUCCUUACUUCCUUACUUAAUACUCCUGGAAAAGGUUCUGACUGGGUUCCUCUUCUCCAGAAAUCUGCUUAAAAUAGAUGUGUGUGUGUGUGUGUGUGUGUGUGUGUGUGUGUGUGUAUGGAACUAGUGCCAAACGACAAUCAAAAUAAUCAACUCUAUUGCUGCUAAAACUGUCAAAAGCCACACUUGCUCCAGCUGAAAUGGGGGCUUUUUACCCCUUUUGCCUGAAUUUCAAAUAGAAGGACCACAGGUCUAAACUGGCUGAUUCACACAGUCAGAUGCCUUAUCUGGAGCUGAGUGAGAAGAUUCCUGGCUGGACCUGCCAGGUGAUGCAAACAGGUCUAGGUCCACAGGCCAAGAGGGAGGCUGGGAGUCUGUCAAUCUUUUGAGGGACCCACUGGUAAUGUGCUUCAGUCUGAUUAGUAGCUUCUCCACCGGUGCUGAGGAGCCACUGAGAUGGACCUGAAUUUCCUUUCAGUCCUGCCCUUUCUUAAGAAGUAGAGCAAGUCUCUAUCUCUUCUAAAAAUGUGAGGAGGGCAGGAAUGCUUCAGGCAUUUUCUUCUUCCCCGUACCAUCCAAAACUUCAGGAUUGCAGACCAUCUUUUGCAGAGAAGAAAACUAAGGCUUGGAAUAGAUUCACCAAGUUUCCAGAGUAACAAGCUGAUAAGAAGUAGAGGCACAUUCACAGGACAUCAUUCUUUCUCUCUUUCAACAUCUCAAAAAAUUGAACAAAUAUAUGUGUGGCAAACCUUACUACCUCCCCAACACACUACUCCCAAGACCUACCCCUUCCCCCUACUUAUUUCUCUCCAUAUCCCUUAUUAUAUUGCCAUCUUGCAUAGUCUAUGUGUUUGCUGUCUGCCCCUCCUCCCGCUAUAAUGGGAUCAAAUGUAAAUUCUAUCAUUGAAACAUAUAGGAGAUACCAAUGUAGAUUGUGUUAUUUGCACACAGGAUGUACCACUGUGUACCCAAUAGUACUCAGUUAAUACCUGCUGCCUUUAGAAUGUCCCUUUGAUGAAGCCCUGAGGAUGUGGGCCGCCAUGCAUCAGUCACUGCUGGCUCUAGGGCACUGGCACUUGGCUGAAGUUCUAGUGCUGGUGUUGAUUCACUGAGACCUAAGCACCAUGAGGAAAAUGCAUUCCAUAGGAGACUGCAAUAAGAUCAUGUAUCAUGUACAGGUGGGAUAAGUCUCUUUUCCAGGUAAGAUGUUCCUGGGUUAGCUGCUGUUUUCUGUGACAAUUUUCGUAGACAGAAACAAUUGCCUGCAUUUCCAGCAGUGCACUUAGAACCUCAAAAAAAUUGGCUCUUUGGGCAGAUCAACAAACCAAUUGAAUGCAGCUGCAUUUUAAAAAUCUGAGCCACCGAAAGGUAUUGCUGCUUGGCUGGGUUGUGACCAUCUUCCCUGAGGAAUCCCUGCAGGAUUUUUGUGGGGAGUAGAGAAGUGGCAUCUCCCAUUUCAUCCACCAGAGUCAUCGUUUAGGAUUAUCAAGAACGAGAAGGAGUUAGUCCCGGAAUGUGCAGAAAGGUAUCCAUGGCAGUUACUAGUAUAUUAAUAAAAAUGCCGCUGUGCUGAAGAAACAACCGAGCAUAGUAAAAGACUAGUACAGAAAGGACCUUUUAUUCUGGCACUCUUGCAAUGGCUUUAUGUGUUUGAUUGCAUUUAAGGCUCAGAACAACCCUCUAAGGAACUAUUAUCUCCAUGCCACAGAUGAGAAGGCAGAAGAACAAAGAGGCUAAGUGAUUUGCCCAAGGUCUCACAGUAAUGAGUGGCAGAAUCCAGAUUUGAACCAAGACAGUCUGGCUGUAGAGCCUGUGUUCUAAAUAGCUGUACCGCUAGAUCCUUCAACUACCUUUUCGGCUUUUUGUUGUUAGUGUUUUCAAGGUCUAAAGAGUGUAUAAGCAAGCCAACUAACUUGCAAGCUCUUUGUAUUACUGAAAUACAUAUGCUUAGCCAGACAUGGUAGCACAUACCUGUAAUCCCAGUUACUCAGGAGGCUGAGGCAAGAGAAUUUCUUGAACCUGGGAGGUGGAGGUUGCAGUGAGUCCAGAUCGUGCCACUGCACACCAGCCUGGGUGAUGAAGUGAGACUCUGUUUAAAAAAAAAUUAUACACACACACACACAUAUGUGUAUGUGCAUGGUGUGUGUAUGAACACUUUGUAUACACUGUGAACAAUUAUAAAGUACAUUGGAGUGGCAGGGGGUUUAGAAUUUUAUUUCAGCUUCCCACCCAAUGCAGGGGUCCUUAGAGAAUCAUCAUUCAGCUUUGCUUGAACUUUAAGAUCAGAUGAAUAAAAAUACUAAGGGUCAACAUACACGCUGAUGCUAAUAAUUGCUGUAACUAUGGAAACAAACUAGAAUAAAGGACAAAACAAAAAGGUUCUUACGAGAGAAUUUUAAAAAGCUGAAACUCACCAUAUACACAUAAAGUAGUGACUAGGCUUGGGAACCUAAAUAAAUUAAUAAAGGCUGGAAAAUGGAGGACGGUAGGGGGAGAGAGUGUAAGCGCUAGAUUUCUGGCCAUCUGAAAAACGCAGUUAAAUACUUUGUUUUGAUUACAUAAACAUUUUUGUAUUUGUGGAAAAACUCUGGGGUAAUCACUCAUCUAAUUAGAAAUAAGAUGCCUGCCUUCUAAAUGGGUAUAGAAUAUAAAACAUAGCCUAUUUAGGAAAAGAAAAUAGUGGAAGAGAAACAGUAAAAAAAAAAAAAGAACAAUAGCAAUGAACCCCAAUGUGUAAGCUCCAUGGCAAAUGCAUAGCUUUAAAUUUUUCUAUUAAAACAUAAAAUAUACCAAAGUAGAUUUAACAGCAAUAUGCAGUGAUUUUCAUUCAUUACCCAAUGAAUGAAAAUAUUCUGGCCCAUGAUAGCACUGUACAGUAUUUUGUUGUUAACAUCUUCUCUAAUUACUUAGGAAAUACACUAUGUCUUACUCAAUUUAGUAUUGCCAGUGUAUAAUUGCUAUAGGAUUGGCGUUCAGAUAUAUGUUAAAGGAUUUACUGAAUUUUUUAAAAAUGAGUGGAUAACAAUAUGUGGAAAAUGAUAUUUAGUGAAAAAAUACUAUACACAGGAGAGCGGGUGAUUCUAAAUGUAUAAUCGAUAGUGAAGACAUCAUGAAAUGGAAACUUCAUGUGCCAAAGAGAAUUGCAAUAAACUACUUAGGGCAAAAACUGUUGGAAAUACAAAGAUCAAUUGGUGCUAAGAGUGUAAUCAAUCAUACCUGGAUUUAAAUUAUGGCUCUGCUACUUAGGAGGUUGGCCAAUUAUUUAUCCUUUCUGAAUCUUAUUUUCAUAAUCUACAAAAACGAGACUAGCUACAUUGUGAGGAUUAGAGUGAGGGAAUAUAGGUAAAAGUGAAGGAGGGAGAGAUGUAUCCUGUUCUCAGUGGUUAUGCAGCAUUUGGUCAAUAAAUAUUCUGAAAGUAAGAACACUUUUCUUGUCAUUUUCAGUUUUUUUAGUGCCAGUAUAAUGCCUUGUUAUAUUAAACAUUCAAAUGGCUGCUAAGUGUUGAAUAAUUUUAAAAAGAAGAGCGCCAUAAACUCUGUUUCCUUGCUUAGUAACGAAAAUCUAACUGUAAUAGCUUUACAAAUUAGGGACUUGUUUUCUUAUUUAAAGCUCAGACAUAGGUGAUUCAGGUAUGGCUCCAUGAAGUUAUGAGGGACUCAACCCCCUUCUUUCCUUCAAUACAGCCAACCUUAUCACUUUCUUUCCAUGCUCCAGGUCACUGAAUGGCUUCUGGAACUCUAGCUAUCACGGCCACUGUGAUGACUUGAAUGUGCUCCUCAAAAAAAAAAAAAAAAAAAAAAAGUGUGUUUUGGAAACUUAAUACCCAGUGCAGCAGUGUUGGGAGAUGGGGACUAGUGGGAGGUAUUUAGCUCACGAAGGCUUCACCCUCAUGAAUGCUUUAAUGCCAAUUACGAAAGGGGUCAAGGCUGUGCAUUCCAUUUCUUCCUCUCUUGCAUGCAUGCUUUUUUGCCGAUCUGCCUCCCACCAUAGGAUGAUGCAGCAAGAAGGCCCUCACCAGAUGCCACCACCUUGAUAUUGGACUCCUCAGCCUCCAGAACCAUGAGAAAUAAGUAUCCCUUCAUAAAAGUCAUCCAGCCUCUGAUAUACUGUUACAGAUGCACAGAAUGGACUCAGACAGCCACAGUCCAGGUUAUAAGAAGAGGAAGGGCAACAGUCAAGGACAUUUCUUCCACUUCACUUAGCUCUCUUCAGAAACUCUCCUGGAAUCCCUACCCACAAAUUCUACUUAUCUCUUGUCCCAUCCAUUACUCCCUAUAAAGAAAACAAAGAAAUGUGAGUUUUGUUUGUUUGUUUGAGAUGGAGUCUUGCUCUGUCCCCCAGGCUGGAGUGUAGUGGUACCAUCUUGGCUCACUGCAACCUCGCCUCCCGGUUCAAAUGAUUCUCAUGCCUCAGUCUCCCGAGUAGCUGGGACUACAGACACCUGCCACCAUGCCCGGCUAACUUUUUGUAUUUCUAGUAGAGACAGGGUUUCAUCAUGUUGGUCAGGCUGGUCUUGAACUCCUGACCUUAGGUGAUCCACCUGCCUCAGCCUCCCAGAGUGUUAAGAUUAUAGGCGUGAGCCACUGCACCCGCCCAUGAGUUUUUUUAAGCUGGAAUCUUAGCCACCCCAUAUAAAAUAGAGCUUCUAAUGUUAGUGAAGAAAGGGAGAGUUGAUAUUAGGGAGGUAACAAAGAAUCUGUCAGAAUUAUUGAUGAUUUUUUUUGAUGGCAACUUCUUGCAUCACUCAUGAAAUUCUACACUUAUGUAUUUAAUAACUUGCUGUCUAGUAGGUUUACUUCAACUGAGCAGGGCCUGGGGUGGGGUCCUGAGUAACUGAUGGAGCUUUCCUUUGUGAGUUUUAUCUCUCUGAUACAUCUCUCUGAGAGAUUGAAUUUAGAGAGUAGGGCGAUUGAAAAUGGCCAGGGAUUGCUGCAGGGUAUUUAUUAAUUUAGUUGACUGAUAAGCCAUACAUUAAAAAAUCAACAGAGGCAAAAGAAGUACAACUGAAAAGUAAUUUUUUCUUCACACUUGGCUCUCAGUUAUUCAGCCCCUUUUUUGGAAGUAACCACUGUGACUAACCACUAUUUAAAUUUUGUGUGGACUUCUGGAUAAGGUCAUUGCAUAUAAUGCAUAUGUGGGUAUGUAUUCUGGUUUAUUUUUUAAGCAAACAAGACUGUAUCAGACAUACUUCUCUGCAAAUGGAAUAUUUCACUUAAGAGUAUUUCUUGGAUAUCUUUCCAGGUCAUACUUGGGAAGCUGCCUCAUUGUUUUUGACAGCUGGCUAGUAUAUCAUUGCAUGGAUCUAUCAUUAUUUAUUCUCUUGAUGAAUUGUACAUACCAUAAUUUAUUUGGGUGAACACUUUGUAGAGUCCAAUAUUUUGCUGUUAUAAGUAAGACUAUAAUGAAUAUUCUUGGAAAUAUGUCAUUUUGUGUAAUUGUAAAAGUACUCCAAGAAUUAGAAUUUAUUCUGAGUCAAGAGGCAUUUGACCUUAUGACUUUGAGAACAUUGCCAAAUUACUCUCCACGAGUAUCAUAGCAGUUUUUAUUCCACUAACAAUGUACUGAGAAUAUAUUUUUGCUCAUUUCCUUGGAAGGCCAAGGCAGGAGAAUCGUUUGAGCCCAGGAGUUCAAGACCAGCCUGGACAACAUAGUAAGACCCCAUUGCUAUAAAACAAACAAAUAUUUUGGUGUUUGCUUAUAUAAUAGGCAAAAAAAAAAUGAUACGUUGAGUAUCAUAUUAUAAAUCUAA